rnacentral:rRNA from 1 species
UACGGAGGGUGCAAGCGUUGUCCGGAAUCACUGGGCGUAAAGGGCGCGUAGGCGGCUCAUGAAGGCUGUGGUGAAAGUCCGGGGCUCAACCUCGGAUCGGCCGUGGCGACUCGUGGGCUGGAGCACUGUAGAGGCGGGUGGAAUUCCGGGUGUAGCGGUGGAAUGCGUAGAGAUCCGGAAGAACACCAGUGGCGAAGGCGGCCCGCUGGGCAGUGGCUGACGCUGAGAGACGAAAGCUAGGGGAGCAAACAGG